UCCUCUUUACAGAGGCAGUUUGUUUUGAGUCCCCGACAUUACUCGCUGGUAACAAAACAUGAGGGUUGCGCUCGUUGCGGGACUUAACCCAACAUUUCACAACACGAGCUGACGACAGCCAUGCACCACCUGUGUACCACCUUCGAAAGCGGCCCCUUUUCGGGGGAUUGCAGGUACAUGUCAAGCCCUGGUAAGGUUCUUCGCGUUGCAUCGAAUUAAGCCAUAUGCUCCACCGCUUGUGCGGGCCCCCGCCAAUUCCUUUGAGUUUCAACCUUGCGGCCGUAGUCCCCAGGCGGUUCACUUAAUGCGUUAGCUGCGGCACCGAGGGAAACCCCCCGACACCUAGUGCUCAUCGUUUACUGCUAGGACUAC
rnacentral:misc_RNA from 1 species